rnacentral:tRNA from 1 species
GGGAAGGUGGCUCAGUGGUAGAGUGCUUGCCUUGCAUGCAUGAGGCCCAGGAUUCAAUUCCUCAUCACCA